UACGGAGGGGGCUAGCGUUGUUCGGAAUUACUGGGCGUAAAGCGCGCGUAGGCGGUCUGUCGCGUCGGCUGUGAAAUCCCGAGGCUCAACCUCGGGUCUGCAGUCGAUACGGGCAAACUAGAGUAUUGCAGGGGAGACUGGAAUUCCUGGUGUAGCGGUGAAAUGCGCAGAUAUCAGGAGGAACACCAAUGGCGAAGGCAGCUCGCUGGGACGGUACUGACGCUGAGACGCGAAAGCGUGGGGAGCAAACAGG
rnacentral:rRNA from 1 species